GUACCCGGUGCUGGCCCGCGCCCCGCAGCCUAUGGCGCCGUCGGUGCUGGAGCAAGAGGUCCGCCAGGUGCGCGAACGCGAGCGCGAGUUCCAGCGCCAGCGACGCUGUAUCUACGGCACGGCGGAGUGCACGGAGCCGGCGCCCAGCCUCACCGCGAGCAGGGGCGACGGCAAGUUGGUGGUGAUCUGGCCCCCGCGCAGAAAGGCCUCGGAAAACAGUCUGGAGCAGGAGGAGCGUAAACCUUGAAGUUUGAGCUGCCUGAGACCCCCGGACCGGAAAUAACACGCUCCUGCGAGGACCUGGGCGGGGAAGCCCGGCAGAGAGAGGCCUCGGGACCCGCAGAAGGCUUGGACAGGGGUCAGCCCUCUGCACUGGGGACCAGGAACUCGAUCAGACCCUCUUUGAUGAACUAUUUCGCCCUCAUUGGGGAACUGCCCGUUACUCACAACCCCACCUUGAAACUGUCCAGCUCUUUUACAAACCGAAUUGCAAACUGAACCAGCGUCUCCCUGGGCUGUUAGAGGGCCAGGGUCCCCACCUCGGCUGCCCCCAAAUAAAGCCUCUUCUUUUCA